CCUUCGAGAGAACUGUGGUUAAGGAACUCGGCAAAAUGCCCCCGUAACUUCGGGAGAAGGGGGACCAGUCCUGGUGACGACAUUUACUGUCUGAGCUGGGGUUGGUCGCAGAGACCAGAGAGAAGCGACUGUUUACUAAAAACACAGGUCCGUGCGAAGUCGUAAGACGAUGUAUACGGACUGACGCCUCCCCGGUGCUGGAAGGUUAAGAGGACCGGUCAGCCACUUCGGUGGCGAAGCUGAGAAUUUAAGCCCCAGUAAACGGCGGUGGUAACUAUAACCAUCCUAAGGUAGCGAAAUUCCUUGUCGGGUAAGUUCCGACCUGCACGAAUGGCGUAACGACUUCUCUGCUGUCUCAACCACAGACUCGGCGAAAUUGCAGUACGAGUAAAGAUGCUCGUUACGCGCGGCAGGACGAAAAGACCCCGGGACCUUCACUAUAGCUUGGUAUUGGUGUUCGGUUCGGUCUGUGUAGGAUAGGUGGGAGACUGUGAAACUCGCACGCCAGUGUGGGUGGAGUCAUUGUUGAAAUACCACUCUGACCGUAUUGGACAUCUAACCUCGGACCAUGAUCUGGUUCAGGGACAGUGCCUGGUGGGUAGUUUAACUGGGGCGGUUGCCUCCCAAAAAGUAACGGAGGCGCCCAAAGGUUCCCUCAGCCUGGCUGGCAAUCAGGUGUUGAGUGUAAGUGCACAAGGGAGCUUGACUGUGAGACGUACAUGUCGAGCAGGGACGAAAGUCGGGACUAGUGAUCCGGCACCGGCAAGUGGAAGCGGUGUCGCUCAACGGAUAAAAGGUACCCCGGGGAUAACAGGCUGAUCUUCCCCAAGAGUCCAUAUCGACGGGAUGGUUUGGCACCUCGAUGUCGGCUCGUCGCAUCCUGGGGCUGGAGUAGGUCCCAAGGGUUGGGCUGUUCGCCCAUUAAAGCGGCACGCGAGCUGGGUUUAGAACGUCGUGAGACAGUUCGGUCUCUAUCCGCCGCGCGCGUAAGAAACUUGAGGAAACCUGUCCCUAGUACGAGAGGACCGGGACGGACGAACCUCUGGUGUGCCAGUUGUUCCACCAGGAGCACCGCUGGUUAGCUACGUUCGGAAGGGAUAACCGCUGAAAGCAUCUAAGCGGGAAGCCUGUUCCAAGAUGAGGUUUCUCACCACCUAGCGUGGUUAAGGCCCCCCACAGACCAUGGGGUUAAUAGGCCAGAACUGUAAACACAGCAAUGUGUUCAGGUGACUGGUACUAAUCGGCCGAGGACUUGC
rnacentral:rRNA from 1 species